rnacentral:lncRNA from 1 species
UGAGGAACUUGUUGAAGGUUGUGGAAUUGCUGAGUUUGAUAGAAGACUCUGUUACUGGAUUUGUAGUCAAAGAAUCUGAGUCUUUUCAUUUACACCUUGUGACCUUGUUCUUUUGACCUGUACUCCGAAGAAGUUUGUGUUUUCUUAAUUGGAAAAUAGUUUAAGGAUGUAUUAUGAGCAUCCUAUCGUAUGCGUUCCAUAAGUUUGUGUGUUUUCCGGAGAUAAAGAGAUUAAUUGGAACU